GACGAACGCUGGCGGCGUGCUUAACACAUGCAAGUCGAACGGAAAGGCCCUGCUUUUGUGGGGUGCUCGAGUGGCGAACGGGUGAGUAACACGUGAGUAACCUGCCCUUGACUUUGGGAUAACUUCAGGAAACUGGGGCUAAUACCGGAUAGGAGCUCCUGCUGCAUGGUGGGGGUUGGAAAGUUUCGGCGGUUGGGGAUGGACUCGCGGCUUAUCAGCUUGUUGGUGGGGUAGUGGCUUACCAAGGCUUUGACGGGUAGCCGGCCUGAGAGGGUGACCGGCCACAUUGGGCCUGCGAUACGGCCCAGACUCCUACGGGAGGCAGCAGUGGGGAAUAUUGCACAAUGGGCGGAAGCCUGAUGCGGCAACGCCGCGUGCGGGAUGACGGCCUUCGGGUUGUAAACCGCUUUCGCCUGUGAGGAAGCGUGAGUGACGGUAAUGGGUAAAGAAGCACCGGCUAACUACGUG
rnacentral:rRNA from 1 species